GGAGCAGUUUCUACAACUGGUACCCUGCAGACCUCAGUUGCUACAUACACAUGUAGUGCAGGCUUCAAACUAACUGGAGUUAGCAGUAGAACGUGUGUGCUUGGAUCAGGGUGGUCAGGCGUAGCCCCGACAUGUGUGGCAGGCAUGGUAGGAGAUUCCUGUGCAACAGUUACCAACUUAUGUGUGAACCUGAUCAACGCACCAUGUACAGGAGGCACCUGCACCUGUCUCCUUGGAUACACACAGAGCACUGACACUGAAUGCGUGGAAAUAAACGAAUGUGUCUCUUCUCCCUGCAUGAACGGAGGCUCGUGUACCAACGACAUAGCAAAGUUCACGUGCAGGUGUCCUACUGGAUUUAAUGGAACAAGAUGCGAAAUAA